rnacentral:rRNA from 1 species
CCCUUGGGUCCGGCAUAACCCCGGGAAACUGGGGAUAAUUCCGGAUAACGCAUAUAUGCUGGAAUGCUUUAUGCGUCAAAUGGAUUCGUCUGCCCAAGGAUGGGUCUGCGGCCUAUCAGGUAGUAGUGGGUGUAAUGUACCUACUAGCCGACGACGGGUACGGGUUGUGAGAGCAAGAGCCCGGAGAUGGAUUCUGAGACAUGAAUCCAGGCCCUACGGGGCGCAGCAGGCGCGAAAACUUUACAAUGCGGGAAACCGUGAUAAGGGGACACCGAGUGCCAGCAUCAUAUGCUGGCUGUCCGGGUGUGUAAAAUACACCCGUUAGCAAGGGCCGGGCAAGACCGGUGCCAGCCGCCGCGGUAACACCGGCGGCCCGAGUGGUGAUCGUGAUUAUUGGGUCUAAAGGGUCCGUAGCCGGUUUGGUCAGUCCUCCGGGAAAUCUGACGGCUUAACCGUUAGGCUUUCGGAGGAUACUGCCAGGCUUGGAACCGGGAGAGGUAAGAGGUACUACAGGGGUAGGAGUGAAAUCUUGUAAUCCCUGUGGGACCAC